AUUAUAAGAAUCCCCUGCUUCAGAGCUUGGGGCUCCUGGCUUGGAUCCAUUGCAGUGGAGCCCCUGGGAGCCCGGGCUCGAGCUUGUAACAAUAAAGGCUUUUGCUUUUGCAUCAGAAUCAGCUCCCUGGUGGUCUUUGGGGACUUCGUGAUCUGGGCACAACAUUUGGGGGCUCGUCCGGGAUCUCCAAGACUCCCUGAGGACCCCCGACUCGAAGAGCCAUUAAGUGGUUAAAGACAUUGUCUAUCAUCCAUGGACCAGUCACCCUGACCAGGUUCCAUACAUUACUACCUGGAUGGACCUGGUGGAAGAUCCCCUUCCUUGGCUGAAGGUUGAGCCCGUGCCUCCCGGGGAAGUGGCAGUUGGGGAGCCCACUGCUGAAGCCGAGACUGCAGCAAGACCUGCUUCUGGAAGUCUGCCAUACACAAGGCAACAAGCCCAGUGAGAGGCGAAUGCUGACUUGACCAUCCUUCCCUUGAGCUUUUACAGGUACUGUUCACCACAGAAGAAAGAGAAAGAAUUCUGUCUGAAGCCCGAAAAUCAGUCGAGCAAAAUGGGACUAUGACUACUAAUCCUGCUGUGAUCGAUGCCAUUUUUCCCCUUACCUGCCCUGAUUGGGAUUUUCAUACGAGAGAUGGUCAGGUGAGUCUCCAAGCCUACCGCCACUCAUGAGGGGUCUCCAGAAAGUGGCCCACAAGUCAACUAAUUUGGCUAAGGUAGGUAAUGUGCAGCAGGAAAAGAAUGAGUCUCCCGCUGCCUUCCUAGAAAGAAUAUGGAAGCAUUCUUUACUUAUACGCCCAUGGAUCUUGAGGCAGAAGGUAGUAAAACCAUGGUUAUUAUGGCUUUUGUUAACCAUUCUGCCCCUGAUAUAAGAAAGAAACUUCAGAGAGUAGAUAGGCUGGCUGAAAAAUCUUUACAGGAUUUGCUUGCAGUGGCCGAGAAAGUUUAUAAUAAUAGAGAAACACCAGAGGAAAAGCAGACUCAGGCUCGGGCCAAACAAACUCAAGACCUGGCUAAAAUCCUGCUGGCUGCCACUGCUGCAGAGCUAAAGGAUCAGCAGGCUUGACUAAGGCAACUAACAGUUGAAGGUGAGGAGAAACCCUGGGAGGAAGGACAUUGACGCUUACAGAGGGACAAGUGUGCCUACUGCAAGGAGAUGGGGCACUGGGCCAGAGAAUGCCCUAAACGGAGGACCGGCAGGCCCACAUCACAUGGUGAAGCCCAUGUUUUAGAACUGGGGGAAUUGAGUGACUAGAGGGGUCAGGGUUCAGCACCCCUCCCUGAACGCAGGGUAACACUCAAAGUGGAGGGGACACCGAUAGAUUUCCUUGUGGACACUGGUGCACAGCAUUCGGUGCUUCUAAAAGACCCAAGGUAAGCUAGAUACAAGAAAAUCUUGGGUCCAAGGGGCAACAGGGAUGAAACAAUACUCAUGGACUACCUGAACAACUGUAGACCUGGGCACAGGCCGGGUAUCCCAUGCAUUCAUUGUUGCGUGACUGGAGACAUGAACGAACAGCAGCUUUGCCAUGGCUGUAAACUCGCUCCUGUAAUUAUUAUAUCAAGAAACAGACUACAUGAAAUGAGAUGGCGUGUAGCAAAAAUCUUUAUUCUAGGUUUUGACUUUAUACUUUUCCAGUCAUGUACACACUUAAUCUAUUAUCUAUUAGUUUCAUCAUUAUCUUCUUUUACCUAUCUGAAAUUUAACUUGAAAGGAAAUAUUUUGUUAUCAUAUCAAUACAAUCAACUUUUUAGUAAACCUCUUCUUCUAAACAUUGACUAAUUUCUGAGCAGGCAUCUAAAGGAAGAUCACAAAGAAGAAAGUAGCCACAGGGGAACAGAGUAAAUAGGAGAAUAUCUUCAAGCAUUCACUUAGUUUACUCAGUAUGAAGUAAUGACUGUGACCUUCCUUCAGGGCAGAGUACCUAUAGACCUCUGACAAUAUGUUGUUAACAUAUGUCAACCCUCUGGCCCGUAUCUCUGAGGAAGGGUGGCAUGCCCUUUGAUCUCAGGCUUCACGGGGUGUACAGCUUCAGAGAAAAGGCCUAAGGAAUUUUACAACUCCAAGAAAGCCUAAAUCUGCAUGUAACCCAGAGGGGGUCAAAGUCCCUUAAGCCUCUGGAAGAAAAGCAAGUCAUUUUAAACUCACACUGAAUUCACUUUGUGUGCUUGAUUUAGGAUAUGUUUAUUUCUGAAUAUUAUCCUACAUUCAUGGUUAUCCCAGACUGCCCAUAUCCCUUACUUGGAAGAGAUCUAUUAACCAAAAUUGGGGCCCAGAUAUCCUUCAAGCAGGAUGGACCACAGGUCACAGAUGAUCAAGGGCGCCUUAUACAAGUUCUAACUGUUCAGCUAGAGUACACGCUUCACCAACAACCGCCCAAGGCCCACGCUGACAUUAAUGACUGGCUCUACUCCUACCCGUUAGCAUGGGCUGAGACAGGAGGAAUAGGGUUAGCCAUUCAUCGGCCUCCCGUAUUAGUUGAACUUAAGCCCAGAGCAGAGACCAUAAAAGUAAAGCAAUACCCCAUGGCCGUGGAGGCAAAGAAAGGUAUAGGUCCACACAUUAGGCACCUCCUAUGAGCAGAAAUUUUAGUUCCCUGACAAUCGGCAUGGAAUACUUCCCUGUUGCCUAUCAAGAAACCCCUUACAAAUGACUAUCGUCCAGUACAGGAUUUACAGGAGGUGAAUAAGCAGGUGAUGAAUAUCCACCCCAUGGUGCCUAACCCAUAUACACUCCACAGUGCCUUGGCCCCAACUCAAACAUGGUACACAGUAUUAGAUUUAAAGGAUGCCUUCUUCAGUCUGCCUCUAGCUCCACAAAGCCAGGCUAUAUUUCCUUUCGAGUGGAGCGAUCCAGAGGAGGGCAUCAGUGGACAACUGACCUGGACCCGCCUACCACAAGGCUUCAAGAAUUCUCCAACUAUCUUUGAUGAAGCUCUACAUGCAGACUUAGGCUGGAUGAGAUCACAGCUCGCUGCAGCCUUGAACUCCUAUCCUCAGCAAUCCUCCUGCCUUAGCCUCCUGAGAAGUUGGGUCUACAGGUCCCUUCCAGGAAAUUCCAGAGACAGCCAGACUCUGCUUUCAGAGCCUGCCUCCUACAUGGUUAGCUUUCUAAUCACUUUGGAGGGUCUUCAAAAGAACAUCCCUUCAUAUGGACUUUGAGAAAGUUUCUUCAAGUAUAAAUCAAUGGCACUCAAAGUGACAUUGAGGUUACAGAGAAAAGGAAGGAGAGAGUUUUUUUUUUCUUUUUGAGACAGAAUCUUACUCCAUUGCCCAGGCUAAAUUGCUGUGGCAUCAGACUAGCUUAUAGCAACUUCAAACUCCUGGGUUCAAGAGGAAUUUGCCUCAGCAAACUGAAUAGUUUUCCUUGCCUCAGACUCCUGAAUAGCUGGGACUGCAGGCACAUGUCACAAUGCCUGGCUAAUUUUUCUAUUUUUAUAGAGAAGGGGUCUCAUUCUUGUCCAGUGGAUCCUCCUGCUUUGGCCUCACAGAGUGCUAGGAUUACAGGUGUGAGCCACCAUGUCUGGCUCCAAGUUGUAUUUAAAAAUCCUAUCUCUUGGCUGGGCACCUCUAGCACAAUGGUUGUGGCACUGGCCACAUACACCAAGCCUGUUGAGUUCAAACAUGGCCCAGGCCAGCUAAACAACAAUGGCAACCGCAACAAAAAAUAGCUGGGCAUUGUGGCGGGAGCCUGUAGUCCCAGCUACUUGGGAGGCUGAGGCAAGAGAAUCGCUUAAGGCCAAGAGUUGGAGGUUGCUGUGAGCUGUGACACCACACCACUCUACAGAGGGUGACAUAGUGAGACACUGUCUCAAAAAAAAAAAAAAAUAAAAAAUCCUAUCUCCCAAAUUCUUGGAGAGGUGGUGGAUUUGAAAAAUUCCUUCUGUCUCCUGUUUAGCUUUCUAUGAAUUAAACUGUUUCUCUGCUAUAGACCCUGGUGCCUCUGUGUACUGGCUUCCUCUUGAGCAGCAGACAAUGACCCUGCGUGGGCAGCAACGUCCACAAGUGCUUG